rnacentral:rRNA from 1 species
GACGAACGCUGGCGGCGUGCUUAACACAUGCAAGUCGAGCGGUAAGGCUCCUUCGGGAGUACACGAGCGGCGAACGGGUGAGUAACACGUGAGCAAUCUGCCCUUCACUUUGGGAUAACCACCGGAAACGGUGGCUAAUACCGAAUACGACCACUUCAGGCAUCUGAUGGUGGUGGAAAGUUCCGACGGUGAAGGAUGAGCUCGCGGCCUAUCAGCUUGUUGGUGAGGUAAUGGCUCACCAAGGCUUCGACGGGUAGCCGGCCUGAGAGGGUGACCGGCCACACUGGGACUGAGACACGACCCAGACUCAUACGGGUGGCAGCAGUGGGGAAUAUUGGACAAUGGGCGAAAGCCUGAUCCAGCAACGCCGCGUGAGGGAUGACGGCCUUCGGGUUGUAAACCUCUUUCAGCGGGGACGAAGCGAAAGUGACGGUACCCGCAGAAGAAGGACCGGCCAACUACGUGCCAGCAGCCGCAGUAAAAC